rnacentral:lncRNA from 1 species
CAAUUUCGUGCCACACAUGGAAAGCUCUGCUUAAACCCUCCGAAGGGUGCAAGUGAGUUAAGCAGAGACUGUCAUUUCACCCGGUCCCAUUAAACAGGGCAUUCAGCAUACAAAAUGCUUCUGGGCCGUGAGCUCAUCUUGCCACUUCCAUAUUUAUUGAAGAUAACACAGAAUUAGGCAGCACUAAUGACACUAAAUGACAUUUAGCUCUGUGCAGUGUGAUUGCAAAUGGCUUCAUUGAAGUAGGCACGUACUGCUUGCCGUGUUUUGCAGACAUGGAGGCUGAAAUGCAGAGGCAAGCUGCGCAAGGUGACAAAAUGCUAACUGGCAGCUGGGGCUAGGACCCAGUCCUGCUUUAUUUUGGAGUGCCCUUGUGUGACAUGUUUCCAGACUUUGCCUUAUGGACCAGCUCCGUCUUUGCCUCUGCACUGCCAGCCCUCUGACCUGUCAGCCACUGGUAUAUCCCUGGGGAUUUGAAAGGUUCAUCUCCUCCUGGCCCCAGAGUCAGGACAUGCCCUGGUACAUGCUGUCCUUAAGGAUGUCUGAAUACAGAGGCCAUCCCCUCUACUGGAAUCAGCCCUGGCCACUUCUCCAGCGAAAAUCAUAAACCUGCAGAAGAGGGUAACCACAAGGCGCCUUCACACACCGGUGCAGAUGACAGAAGUAAUAUGCAACUUCUUAAAAACAGAGUAAAGGGGUAGGCAACAUUCACCUUGGCAUCACAGCACUAUGAAGAUGGACAGCUACUGCUCUCCUCUCUGACUGCACCUUCUUGCAACCAGGUCUUUGGCAAACAGACAUUGACUUAUCCCUGAGUGAAUACUGUACAGUUUAUCAGAGAGUAGAUGAAAAGGCAAGAAGGUUCAGGAACGAGGACAACAAACCAGAUGUCAUCACUAUUACUUGAGACUCUUCUUUCAAAGGUCACAGAUGCUAGGAGGCCAGGUGCAUCUUCUGUUUUUGCACCAGGGAUUCAACCAUCCUGUUAGAGGUAUCACCAAAAUGAUAUUUCGGAGAUAUUCCACAUUCCCUACACCUCUGCCAGCUCGGGGCAGGAGUCAGCCUGAAGUUGCAGCAGGUGUUCAGCACGAGCCUCACUGCUUAGCACUUCCCAGCAUAGAGACCAGCUUUGCUUAUUUAUACUUUGGUGCCUUCCUCAAGGGUUUAUCUCCAGGCCAUCUCAAGCUGUGGAAAGGGAGCAUGUGCCCUCCAAGCAGGACAAAGCAGGGAAGUUAUCCCUCCACCCGUGGUACUCCUACAGCUGUUGUCCUCAUUCCCUCUACCUGCUUGCCCUCAGACCACAGUCCCUGUCUCCUCCCCCCAACAGACAUUGUCACUCAGUCCAUAAAAUCCCUCUGUGGAUGUUAAAUACCCUUUCGUUUUGUUUCUCUGUUUCUCAGGCAAUGUUGUUGUGGAUGGAAAAUGUUCUUUUAUCUCCUCUCUGUCCUCUCUAGUUUGGUUUCUCUCCAUUUACUCCUUUUGGUGGCCAAGUUGCAAUCCAGGACAUAUUACCUCCCACUCUUCUCACCUUCCUGCACCUGUCUGCAAAAGCACCUCAUCUGCUUUGAACUGUUCCUGAAAUAAAGGUACUGGUUCUGCUAGCA